AAAACAGCCCCAGAUAUGGAGGCAAAUUAAGGGAUGCAAAGAUGCCCCCGCCACCUUUUCCCGCUAUCUCCCUUCUCCCCUUAUCCAGGAGGGUGCUCAGGCGUGCACUGGUCCCACCAUGCAGCCCCAGGGCCAGGGCUUGGUGCUUGUGGAGUGUUGCUGGAGCUCCCCUGGCUCUAUGUGGGUCCCACCAGCGCCGGCACCCCGAGGCUGAGCAGCUCCGUGGUGCUGGCAGCUCCCUCCGGCAGCUUAGCGCUGUCGCCGUUCGGAUGGGACUGGAAGAACACCGGCACCGCUGCACCGAACAGCAAAGGAGAAGAUCAGCCGGAAGGGCCACGGUGAGGACCAUCACUCUGUGGGCUCCCAGCAUCUCUUGCCCCUGCUCAAGGUGUGAGCAGCACUGCCCAUGUACCCUGCCAUCAUCUCAAGCAAUUAACUUGAAGGGAGACAUCACUGCUAAUUGAGCAGUGAAGAUCAGGAGCAACAAUUACGCCUUUUGACAAGAGACAGCACAAGAGGGACUGCUCCGAGGCUGAGAAUG